rnacentral:tRNA from 1 species
GAGGGUAUAGCUCAAUGGUAGAGCAUGUGCUUAGCAUGCAUGAGGUCCUGGGUUAAGUCCCAGUACUUUCA